CCUACGGGUGGCAGCAGUGAGGAAUAUUGGUCAAUGGUCGGGAGACUGAACCAGCCAAGCCGCGUGAGGGAUGAAGGUCCAGAGUAUUGUAAACCUCUUUUGUCAGGGCAUAAAGGCGGGGACGCGUCCCCGGAUGCAUGUACCUGAAGAAAAAGCAUCGGCUAACUCCGUGCCAGCAGCCGCGGUAAUACGGAGGAUGCGAGCGUUCUCCGGAUUUAUUGGGUUUAAGGGGUGCGCAGCGGGUCUGUUAAGUCAGUGGUAAAAGUCAGGGGCUCAACCCCGGACCGCCAUUGAAACUGGCAGUCUCGAGUUGGAGAGAAGUAGGCGGAAUGCGCGGUGUAGCGGUGAAAUGCAGAGAGAU
rnacentral:rRNA from 1 species